AUGUACAAGUUGUACAAGAGCGAGCUGGGCGCGAUCACGCCUGAGCAGGUGGAAUGGGAGCCGUUGGAUAGGAAAAAGCAGCGGAAGAUCAAGGAUUGGGCCAAGCAUCACAGGAAGUAUGUUGUGCAGUUCGCUCUUAGUGUGGAGCAAGCAAGGGCUGGAAAACGAGCCCAGCUUCGUGAGCACUGCCCGAUCGCGUUCAACAACUAUCUCACAUGCUUUCUUGCAAGUACCCGCGUGGAGGUAUGCCAGCCGGCGUAUGCUGGGGAGAUUCUGGAAGAACCCGCCGUUUUUGAUAAGAUCAAGAAAGCAGCUGAUGAGACCGAGACUAUUCUGGAAACAACCCCGGCUGGCAAAAGCGAUGGGGAAGGUGCACUUCGAGCAUUCAUUAAGCGCCAGGUCCAAAAGUUAAGGCGGCUAUCAAACCUUUUCGGUUGUCGUGAGCCCGAGUAUGUAUCACCAGAACGGUCUAGGUCGGCGACACCAUCAGAUCCCGCUUCGGGGCAGGGCCAUGGUGAACCUUUCGAGGAUGAGGACGUGGGUGUGGUCACCCAAGAGGUUGCUGAUGAUAUGACCGUGGGGAGGUACCAGGCUCGGUCUGCAUACGAGUUGAAGCCUAGGACGGGAAUCAACAAGUACACACCUGAAGACUUCACCCAAAGAGGCCAAAGAGGCAAAAGGACGGUCGGCACCUCGCGGAUGGCGGCUUUGGAUGACUAUUUGGAUGACUAUGUAGAUGACGUGGACGAACCGGAGCCGGAGCCGGAGCCGGAGUGGGUUCCUCUUCCUAGGAAGGUGAAGAAGAUAAGCAUCAAGAGGGGGGAGGAGCCAGCAUGCGUGGAAAGCACUAGUCAUCGUCAUUUUUUUAUAAUGUUGAACUUAGAGUGGAAUUUGUUAUGUCGUUGA
rnacentral:rRNA from 1 species